CAGAGCCAACUACUGUGCCACUGCCUCCCGCAGUAGGAGAGAUUAGUUUGCCGCCUCGUGUCUCCUUACCCAGGAGUCUCGGCUCCGGGAGCCUAAGUCCGGAGUGGGCCGUGGUACACUUGGAACAGGUUCGGAGGGAGGGGGUCUGCACGGCCACCAGAGCCAAGCCAUGGAGCUCGGGGAGUCCGGGAAGGUUCCUGUGACCUUUGAUGACGUCACUGUGUACUUGCUGCAGGAAGAAUGGCUGCUUCUGGGUAAGCCGCAGAAGGACUUCUCUACUUCUGACAAGCUGACAGCACCUCGAGGACCGAUUGCUGCCAAUCCUGAACUAUUCCGUGGUUUGGGGCAAGCGACCAAGGCAGCUCCGGGGCCAGAGGAGCCUUCUGAACCAUCAUCCUGGAAAAACCCAAGUGACCUGUAUGGAAGAACUUGAUACGCAGGGAUCCACCAGAGAGAAAGGACAGUACCUGCCACCUCAAAAGGAAGCCUGCCACGCUCACUUCAGUACUGAGAGCAGCAAGGCGGGAAAGACUGGACAGGAGGAAACAAGAAACUCCCCAGCUCUGCUCUGUCCAGAAGUCAUGGUUUACAAAGUUUCCGUGGUUGAUCGUGAAUGAGGAACAGGCAGCUCUGUUUUGUGCCGUCUGCCGAGAAUACCCAUCUGUCAGGGACAGAAGGUCACGGUUAAUAGAAGGCUACACAGGACCAUUCAAGGUGGAAACUCUGAAAUAUCAUGCCAAGAUCAAGGCCCACAUAGUCUGUGUCAGUGCCCUGGCUGCCAAAGACCCCGUCUGGACAGCUGCCUUCAGAGUCUCUGGGAGAACCCUGCAGAUAUCCUGGCCGUGCCUGAACACCUCCUCUCUGCAGAUGACCCCACGCUCUACCUGCCAGGGCCUCUGGGGAACGUUGAUGGCCUAGAUGAACUCCUGUUCAGCCCAAGAGCUGAACCAGAGGAUGCUUCAGGGAGUGGAGCCAUCCCUGCAUUGUAUUUAGACUGCGAGUUGGAUCUGAGGCAAGAAGAAAUUGGCAGUGACAUCCUCGGUCCAUCAAAGAGCAGCACGUUAUUUAAGGACAGAAUUGAUUUCUGCAGCCAGGGCUGAGCCGGCAGAGGAUCGUCAUCUUCUCAUAGAGAAGAGGGCGUGGUUCUACCUGGUUUUUCAUGGCAUUCGGGAUGGUACGCAGGGCCUGGUGCACGCUGGGUAAGUGUUCUUCCUCUGAGUUUCAUCCACUGCCCGUUCUGCUCUCAGUGUUAACUGUGCCUGUCCCUCUCUCAGUGUUAACUGCCUGUCUCCCAGUGUUAACUGUGCCUGCCUCUCUAGUGUUUCCUGUCAGUCUUUCAUUUUUGGAUUCAUUCACUUAGUACUGUCUUGUUUGUAACUGCGAAGUAUCUGACUGCUCCUUUAUUUUCAUGUUUUACAUUCCGUUUUCACACGUUUUUGAUGAGGUCUCUUGCUUCCUGCCAGAAAACAUCUAGAAACCUAAUUUACAUUUAGCUGGUAAGAAACUAAAGUUUGUCAUUGGGCAUGGUGGUGCGUGCCUGUAACCCUAAUCUCAGGACUCGGGAGGCUAAGGCAGAAGGGUCAAGGCUAGGGCAGCCUGGAGAUAGAGGGUGGGAGCAAGCUAGAGCCACAGGAAUUCUCCUGGAUUUGAAUUUUGGGGUGAACCCUGCCACCCUGGAGAUGAGAGAAUCCAGGGAAGAUCAGUAAUCUUUAUUGUCUUGAAGUUCUCCA